rnacentral:rRNA from 1 species
AACGAACGCUGGCGGCAUGCCUAACACAUGCAAGUCGAACGAGACCUUCGGGUCUAGUGGCGCACGGGUGCGUAACGCGUGGGGACCUGCCCUUAGGUUCUGAAUAACUCCCCGAAAGGGGUGCUAAUACCGGAUAAUGUCUUCGGACCAAAGAUUUAUCGCCUUUGGAUGGGCCCGCGUUGGAUUAGCUAGUUGGUAGGGUAAAAGCCUACCAAGGCGACGAUCCAUAGCUGGUCUGAGAGGAUGAUCAGCCACACUGGGACUGAGACACGGCCCAGACUCCUACGGGAGGCAGCAGUGGGGAAUAUUGGACAAUGGGCGAAAGCCUGAUCCAGCAAUGCCGCGUGAGUGAUGAAGGCCUUAGGGUUGUAAAGCUCUUUUACCCGGGAUGAUAAUGACAGUACCGGGAGAAUAAGCUCCGGCUAACUCCGUG